UCCGGUUUGUCACCGGCAGUCCCUCUAGAGUUAUCAGCUUAACCUGUUAUCAACUAAAGGCAAGGGUUGCGCUCGUUGCGGGACUUAACCCAACAUCUCACGACACGAGCUGACGACAACCAUGCACCACCUGUCUCCUCUGUCUCCGAAGAGAAGGAUCUAUCUCUAAAUCUGUCAAAGGGAUGUCAAGCCCUGGUAAGGUUCUUCGCGUUGCGUCGAAUUAAACCACAUGCUCCGCUGCUUGUGCGGGUCCCCGUCAAUUCCUUUGAGUUUCAUUCUUGCGAACGUACUCCCCAGGCGGAGUGCUUAAUGCGUUAGCUGCGGCACUGAAGGAUGUCUCCUCCAACACCUAGCACUCAUCGUUUACGGCGUGGACUAC
rnacentral:misc_RNA from 1 species